rnacentral:rRNA from 1 species
UUAGUUACCAGCACGUUAUGUGGGCACUCUAAGGAGACUGCCGGUGACAACCGGAGGAAGGUGGGGAUGACGUCAAGUCAUCAUGGCCCUUACGGCCUGGGCUACACACGUGCUACAAUGGUCGGUACAAAGGGUUGCCAAGCCGCGAGGUGGAGCUAAUCCCAUAAAACCGAUCGUAGUCCGGAUCGCAGUCUGCAACUCGACUGCGUGAAGUCGGAAUCGCUAGUAAUCGUGAAUCAGAAUGUCACGGUGAAUACGUUCCCGGGCCUU